GCAUUUUAUUCCAAAACAUUCAUCAGUUCCUUCUCAUAUACAUGUAACCACAAACCCAAGGAGUCCCAAGAGGACAAGACAAGGCCACAGAGGUAGGAUUCAGCAUAAGAUCCUUGCAACAAUGGUAGUGCAAGAGCUAACAAGUAAUCCAUGGGUAGCAGGGCUGUUCCUGCUCUUAUCAGUGCUUCUUCCCUUGGGUGUAGAUGUAGUCUGUGUGAGCCGCAAGCGUCCUCCUCAUCAGGCACUCCUCCUUGCCAACCCCUCCACACUCCUCAUCCAUUUUCUCGAAACUGUCCUCUU
rnacentral:lncRNA from 1 species